AAAUGGAAGAAAAGAAAGAAAUUAAUAAUAUCUCUUCUUCUCCUUCUUCUCCUCCCUCUCUUAUUCCUCCUCCUUCUUCUUCUCCUCCUUCCUCCUCUCUCUCUUCUUCUCUUCCUUUAUUAGCAUCUAAAAGAUGGACUGUUGAAAAGAAAAAAUUAACUUGGGAAGAAGAAUUAAAUAAUUUUAG
rnacentral:ribozyme from 1 species